CGCCUCCCUCUCCUCUGCCCCACCCUCCUCCCCACGCCAUCGGCGCCGCCAUCAUCGGAUCCGGCCCAAGAUGCCUCCGCCCCACGCGCCCGAGUCGUCGAGGCACACUCCUUCCCGCCUCCGUCGUCCACGCAUAUCUCCGCCUCACCUCGGCGCCCGAGUCGUCGCACGCGUUCGCGGUGGUGUCCAUCCCGGCACCGGCCUCACGCACCGUCUACAGCUCCCAACUCUGCUCCUCUCAGUUCUCCCUCCGCAUUUCGCCUUCUCUCCCUUCCUCUCCAAGCAGCGUCCUCCUCGCCUAGAUCCGUACAAGCGGCAAAUAACCUCUCCGGCGGCGAGACAGAUGGAGUCGACCUCCGGCGAGGAUGCUCCGAAGCACAACCCGAUUCCGUCCGCGCUCGUCUCCAACCUACAGUCCGUGCUCACCGCCCGCCGCUUGUCCGCAGCCGAGGUCAGCACCGCCGCCACAGCUAGCGAGGUUGAGGCCUUGGCUUAGGAAGCAGAGGCGUUCGCUGCCCCCACGGGAGAUGGGACGCUGGCGAGGCCCAUCGUGCUACUGACCUAUGCCGGGGGGAUCCGGUCGGCGGGUCUCGCGGCGCUCGUCGACGCCCUCGUUGCCGCCGACCGCUGCGACGUCCACGUGUGUGCCCCCGAAUCGUACGUGCUGCGACUUAGAAAACCAAACCACAGCGGGACCAGUGCUCGGAUAGGGUCCGACGACGAUGCAAGCAAGGAGUGGCGCGCGGCCGACGGGGCGCAGAUCGGCUCCUGCACGUGCAGCGCAGCCGCGUGACAGUGAAGCAGGGAGGCCGCGAUAGGUGGCGCAGGGAGGGUGCGACGGAGGCAAAGUGCAAGCACCUGGGGACUUCAGAAAGAAAGAGUACAAGUCUACUACUGCAGAAAGCAAGGAGAAUGCCAAUAGAAGCAGAUUUCAUGUAUGGAUCGGAUAAAAUCUUGAGCAAAAUGGGAGAAGGUUUGGGUUUUCUGCAAUCUGUCGUCUCCUCUUCUGCUGGGUAUCUCCAUUAUUAUUCUAAUGAAGAGGGCUACGAGUUGGAUUUUCGUAGGUACAUUUGAGCGUGUUUUGGAAUGCUGGGAUCGUGAAACACGUGAAUAUGUUGCCAUAAAAGUUGUACACAGUAUCCACAAGUACUGUGAUGCUGCAAUGAUUGAGAUAGAUGUGCUCAAUCGCCUUGUAGAAAAUGAAAAAUAUAGAUUUCUGCUACACUUGGGGAAUCAAAGAAAAGUGAAAGUGCCAUGUCAAAGUUGAUGACCAGAAGCUUGCUAUUGGAACCCUCUCUAUUGAAAAAUACCCCUAGAUAGAAAUUGAUUUGGUUUUCAAUAAAGAGUGUGAGCUGUCACACACAUCGAAAACUACACGUGUAUUUUUCUUUGGUUACAAGGUUGAGCAACCAAUCGAGGAAGAUGAAUAAUGGAUCUUGAUUCUGAAGAUGAAGAGAAGGAGCUAAACAUUCCAGUAAUCAAGGAAAAUGGCAAAGGUGAUGGGAAGGAGGACCAGAGAAGUGAAGAGAAGGCAGUUGCUGCAGCUUCAAAAUCAAGUCUUGGGCUUGAAAAAAAGCAAGGAUGAGUAUGAGUCUGAUGAUUCUAAUGAGGGAGAAGGUGAAACCGGAGAAUGAGCAGAUGCGGCUGUUCAUGGACAACAGCAUCAAGAAACCUGCAACAUGCAACCUGAUUUUAAGAAAUUUGCCACCUGCAACAUGACUGGGCAGUGGUAUCUCUGAGAUAUAAUGUGGACAACGGCAAAGAAUACUAUGCAUACACAACAGAAGAGUCCUGCAACCUGAUUUUAAGUCCAUUUGUAGCAAACAAUCUUGGAAGCCAUUAACUCGUUGAAUUUGAAGCGGAUGUGCAGUUUUAUUUUUAUGUCAGUUUUACUAAUGCAGUUAGUUCCUAAGCAAAUCCAUGGCAACUUGUUUCACGCUGAUGCUUGAGAAGUUGAGAGGGAUGGAAAUGACACUCACAAUAAAAAUUUGAUUUGCUUUCUUGUGAUCGUCGAUCACAAUAAACGCAGUGGCACAAUAUACCGUGUAAUUGUCCUUUCCUGGUAGAACAUGAAAUGUUGAACUUCCUCUUGUG